AAGCGAGAGAAGGGCAUUUGGUGGAUGCCUUGGCAUCGAGAGGCGAUGAAGGACGUAGCACGCUGCGAUAAGCCCCGGGGAGUUGCGAGCAGACUUUGAUCCGGGGAUUUCCGAAUGGGGAAACCCACCCCUGUAGGGGUAUCCUGCGCUGAAUACAUAGGCGUAGGAGGCUAACCCGGCGAACUGAAACAUCUCAUUAGCCGGAGGAAAGGACAUCAACCGAGACUCCGUCAGUAGUGGCGAGCGAACGCGGACCAGGCCAGUGGCAAGACCGUAAGAACCGGAAGCGUCUGGAAAGGCGGGCCAUAGCGGGUGACAGCCCCGUACGGGUAGAAAGCGGACUUGUCCUCGAGUAGGGCGGGACACGAGAAAUCCUGUCUGAACAUGGGGGGACCACCCUCCAAGCCUAAGUACUCCUCGAUGACCGAUAGUGAACUAGUACCGUGAGGGAAAGGUGAAAAGCACCCCGACGAGGGGAGUGAAAGAGACCUGAAACCGGAUGCCUACAAGCAGUGGGAGCCCUUCGGGGUGACCGCGUACCUUUUGUAUAAUGGGUCAGCGAGUUGGUGUUGCGAGCAAGCUUAAGCCGUUAGGUGUAGGCGUAGCGAAAGCGAGUCUGAACAGGGCGCUUGAGUUCGCAGUAUCAGACCCGAAACCUGGUGAUCUAGCCAUGGGCAGGUUGAAGGUGGGGUAACACCCACUGGAGGACCGAACCCACCUAUGUUGAAAAAUGGGGGGAUGACCUGUGGCUAGGGGUGAAAGGCCAAUCAAACCAGGAAAUAGCUGGUUCUCCGCGAAAACUAUUUCGGUAGUGCGUCGCGUGUUUACCGCCGGGGGUAGAGCACUGGAUGGGCUAGGGGGCUCUACAGGCUUACCAAACCUAACCAAACUCCGAAUACCGGCGAGUAUGAGCGCGGCAGACAGACCAUGGGUGCUAAGGUCCGUGGUCGAAAGGGAAACAGCCCAGACCGCCAGCUAAGGUCCCCAAGUCAUGGCUAAGUGGGAAAGGAAGUGGGAAGGCCAAGACAACCAGGAGGUUGGCUUAGAAGCAGCCAUCCUUUAAAGAAAGCGUAACAGCUCACUGGUCUAGAUAAGCCGUCCCGCGCCGAAGAUGUACCGGGGCUCAAGCCAUGCACCGAAGCUGCGGGGUUCAGAGAACAGUUGUCAGAUGUCAGAGGACAGAAAAGGAGGGGCGUCUUCGUUUGAGGACCUUGAGGUUUUCAAGCAGGCGUAUCGGGCCUCCCUGGACGUCCAUCGGGCAAGCCUGGACUUUCCCGCUGUGGAACAGCGGGCGCUGGCAGACCAAGUCCGCCGAGCGAGCAAGUCAAUCUGUGCGAACCUGGCUGAAGGGUUCGCGCGUCAGGGAGUUGCCCCCGCCGAUUUCCGCCGUUUCAUCAUGAUUGCCAUGGGGUCGAGUGACGAGAUGCGCGUGUGGUCGCGUUAUUGUCUAGACCUUGGUUACAUCGAUGAAGCGAAAUGGAAAUGCUGGCGCGACGAGUAUCAGGAAAUUUCCAAGAUGCUGCAGGGAUUGCACAAAUCCCUGAGGCAGAGGAUCUGAUCCCUGACUUCUGUCAUCUGUUCUCUGGACCGGUAGCGGAGCGUUCCGUAGGCCUGCGAAGGUGUGCCGCGAGGCAUGCUGGAGGUAUCGGAAGUGAGAAUGCUGACAUGAGUAGCGAUAAAGAGGGUGAGAAACCCUCUCGCCGAAAGUCCAAGGGUUCCUGCGCAAGGCUAAUCCGCGCAGGGUGAGCCGGCCCCUAAGGUGAGGGCGAAAGCCGUAGCCGAUGGGAACCAGGUUAAUAUUCCUGGGCCUGCCGGAGGUGACGAACGCCGAUAGUCGUAUCCGCUUAUCGGAUUGUGGGUGCGGCGUAGGCGUUCCAGGAAACAACCCCGGCAUUACAGACCGUACCCUAAACCGACACAGGUGGACAGGUAGAGCAUACCAAGGCGCUUGAGAGAACGGUGUUGAAGGAACUCGGCAAAUUGCACCCGUAACUUCGGGAUAAGGGUGACCUCCCGCCGGGCAACCGGUGGGGGGUGGCACAGACCAGGGGGUGGCGACUGUUUACUAAAAACACAGGGCUCUGCGAAGUCGCAAGACGACGUAUAGGGUCUGACGCCUGCCCGGUGCCGGAAGGUUAAGAGGAAGGGUGAGAGCUCUGAAUCGAAGCCCCGGUAAACGGCGGCCGUAAAUAUAACGGUCCUAAGGUAGCGAAAUUCCUUGUCGGGUAAGUUCCGACCUGCACGAAUGGCGUAACGACUUCCCCGCUGUCUCCAACACCGACUCAGCGAAAUUGAAUUCUCCGUGAAGAUGCGGAGUACCCGCGGUUGGACGGAAAGACCCCGUGCACCUUUACUAUAGCUUUGCAGUGGUACUAGGGGGUAACUGUGUAGGAUAGGUGGGAGGCUUUGAAGCGUGGGCGUCAGCUCACGUGGAGCCAACCUUGAAAUACCACCCUUUUGUUCUCUGGUAUCUAACCGUGGCCCGUUAAUCCGGGUCCGGGACCCUGCAUGGUGGGUAGUUUGGCUGGGGCGGUCGCCUCCCAAAAGGUAACGGAGGCGCGCGAUGGUGGGCUCAAGCUGGUCGGAAAUCAGCUGUUGAGUGUAAUGGCACAAGCCUGCCUGACUGCGAGACUGACAGGUCGAGCAGAGACGAAAGUCGGCCAUAGUGAUCCGGUGGUCCCGCGUGGAAGGGCCAUCGCUCAUCGGAUAAAAGGUACGCCGGGGAUAACAGGCUAAUACCCCCCAAGAGUUCACAUCGACGGGGGUGUUUGGCACCUCGAUGUCGGCUCAUCACAUCCUGGGGCUGGAGCAGGUCCCAAGGGUUCGGCUGUUCGCCGAUUAAAGUGGUACGUGAGCUGGGUUUAGAACGUCGUGAGACAGUUCGGUCCCUAUCUGCCGUGGGUGUAGGAGACUUGAGAGGAGCUGCCCCUAGUACGAGAGGACCGGGGUGGACGUACCUCUGGUGGACCAGUUGUCGCGCCAGCGGCACAGCUGGGUAGCUAAGUACGGACGGGAUAACCGCUGAAAGCAUCUAAGCGGGA
rnacentral:rRNA from 1 species